UACGUAGGGUGCGAGCGUUGUCCGGAAUUAUUGGGCGUAAAGAGCUUGUAGGCGGUUUGUCGCGUCUGCCGUGAAAUUUCGAGGCUCAACCUCGAACUUGCGGUGGGUACGGGCAGACUAGAGUGUGGUAGGGGAGACUGGAAUUCCUGGUGUAGCGGUGAAAUGCGCAGAUAUCAGGAGGAACACCGAUGGCGAAAGCAGGUCUCUGGGCCACUACUGACGCUGAGAAGCGAAAGCAUGGGGAGCGAACAGG
rnacentral:rRNA from 1 species